rnacentral:rRNA from 1 species
UGGGGAAUAUUGGACAAUGGGCGAAAGCCUGAUCCAGCCAUGCCGCGUGUGUGAAGAAGGUCUUCGGAUUGUAAAGCACUUUAAGUUGGGAGGAAGGGCAGUAAGCGAAUACCUUGCUGUUUUGACGUUACCGACAGAAUAAGCACCGGCUAACUCUGUGCCAGCAGCCGCGGUAAUACAGAGGGUGCAAGCGUUAAUCGGAAUUACUGGGCGUAAAGCGCGCGUAGGUGGUUCGUUAAGUUGAAUGUGAAAGCCCCGGGCUCAACCUGGGAACUGCAUCCACAACUGGCGAGCUAGAGUAGGGCAGAGGGUUGUGGCAUUUCCUGUGUAGCGGUGAAAUGCGUAGAUAUAGGAAGGAACACCAGUGGCGAAGGCGACCACCUGGGCUCAUACUGACACUGAGGUGCGAAAGCGUGGGGAGCAAACAGG